UACGAAGGGGGCUAGCGUUGCUCGGAAUCACUGGGUGUAAAGCGCACGUAGGCGGAUUGUUAAGUCAGGGGUGAAAUCCUGGAGCUCAACUCCAGAACUGCCUUUGAUACUGGCGAUCUCGAGUCCGGGAGAGGUGAGUGGAACUGCGAGUGUAGAGGUGAAAUUCGUAGAUAUUCGCAAGAACACCAGUGGCGAAGGCGGCUCACUGGCCCGGUACUGACGCUGAGGUGCGAAAGCGUGGGGAGCA
rnacentral:rRNA from 1 species